AAUAAAUGGCAAGGCCGAACAUCAAGUUUCUGUAGAGGAGUAUUGAGGCCUUGGGGAUAAAUGUCAAGGGCCAAUGCGACUCGAGGAGUUAGGCUUGAAGAACUAAAGUAGAGUGGUGCUUGUGAAGUAGUGGUGCUAGGCCUUGGGAAUAAAUGGCAAGGUCAAACAUCAAGUACUGUAAAAGGAGGGGGGGCGGUAUCUUGGGAAUAAAUGUCAAGAGCCGUCAUGCCUCGAGAAGUUCAACGGGGAGUAUCACAUGGGUGUGUAGAGGGAGGUUUAGUACUGUGGGACAAGGGCUAGUGAAUCAUAUGGUUGUAGUCUUGGUAGUUCCGACGUAUGGUUGUUGUAUGUGUGAAUAGGGCCGACCGUGGUGAUGACGUGGAGGGGGCUUGACCAAUGAGGGAUCACUAGUCGAGUUAGUGAGGAUAGAGGGAAGGGUCCUUUGGUACGAGUAGCGUUGGGAUUUAUUUUAUUGCUAGAUGGCCAAGUUCGUGGCGGUAGAUGGCAAAUCAGCUUACAAUGCCAUCUUUGGAUGACCGAUCAUCCACUCAUUCCGGGCCAUUCCGUCAACCCUCCAUCAAGUCAUGAAAUAUUCAACUCUGAACGGAGUUGAAAUGGUUCGAGGUGAGAAAAAAACAUCCAGGAAUGCUACAACGCUCAAAGGAUCGGCAGUUUGUGCCCUGGAAGAAGAGACAACCCUGCCCGGCCAGAGUGUCCCACCUUCCAUGGACAAGCAGCCCAAGGGUAGUUAUCGUGAAGUUGUUCCACCAAUGGAAGAGCUGGAGCUUGUUCCCUUGCUCAACUCAGAGAAGCAAGUGAGCAUAAGCACUAAGCUGAGGGUCACUGAUAGGGAAGAGCUCAUUUCCUUUCUAAGGUCCAACUCGGACGUGUUCGCAUGGUCUCAUGAAGACAUGCCUGGCAUUGAUCCGAAGAUAAUGGUGCACCGGCUCAACAUUGAUUUUUCAUUCCGACCUGUCAAGCAAAAGAGAAGACAUGUAAAUAAAGAGAUGAGUGAUGUAAUCGUUGAGGAAGUUAACAAACUUUUGAAAGCUGAUUAUAAAAAAAAUAUAUGUAUCCCAAAUGGCUCUCUAACGUUGUUUUAGUUAAAAAAAAUCUAAAAUA